rnacentral:rRNA from 1 species
GAUGAACGCUGGCGGCGUGCCUAAUACAUGCAAGUCGAGCGAACGGACGAGAAGCUUGCUUCCCUGAUGUUAGCGGCGGACGGGUGAGUAACACGUGGAUAACCUACCUAUAAGACUGGGAUAACUUCGGGAAACCGGAGCUAAUACCGGAUGAUAUUUUGAACCGCAUGGUUCAAAAGUGAAAGACGGUCUUGCUGUCACUUAUAGAUGGAUCCGCGCUGCAUUAGCUAGUUGGUAAGGUAACGGCUUACCAAGGCAACGAUGCAUACCCGACCUGAGAGGGUGAUCCGCCACACUGGAACUGAGACACGGUCCAGACUCCGACGGGAGGCAGCAGUAGGGAAUCUUCCGCAAUGGGCGAAAGCCUGACGGAGCAACGCCGCGUGAGUGAUGAAGGUCUUCGGAUCGUAAAACUCUGUUAUUAGGGAAGAACAUAUGUGUAAGUAACUGUGCACAUCUUGACGGUACCUAAUCAGAAAGCCACGGCUAACUACGUG